GACGAACGCUGGCGGCGUGCCUAAUACAUGCAAGUAGAACGCUGAAGAGAGGAGCUUCCUCUUCUUGGAUGAGUUGCGAACGGGUGAGUAACGCGUAGGUAACCUGCCUUGUAGCGGGGGAUAACUAUUGGAAACGAUAGCUAAUACCGCAUAACAAUGGAUGACACAUGUCAUUUAUUUGAAAGGGGCAAUUGCUCCACUACAAGAUGGACCUGCGUUGUAUUAGCUAGUAGGUGAGGUAAUGGCUCACCUAGGCGACGAUACAUAGCCGACCUGAGAGGGUGAUCGGCCAAACUGGGACUGAGACACGGCCCAGACUCCUACGGGAGGCAGCAGUAGGGAAUCUUCGGCAAUGGGGGCAACCCUGACCGAGCAACGCCGCGUGAGUGAAGAAGGUUUUCGGAUCGUAAAGCUCUGUUGUAAGUCAAGAACGGGUGUGAGAGUGGAAAGUUCACACUGUGACGGUAGCUUACCAGAAAGGGACGGCUAACUACGUG
rnacentral:rRNA from 1 species